rnacentral:rRNA from 1 species
GACGAACGCUGGCGGCGUGCUUAACACAUGCAAGUCGAACGGAAAGGCCCUGCUUUUGUGGGGUGCUCGAGUGGCGAACGGGUGAGUAACACGUGAGUAACCUGCCCUUGACUUUGGGAUAACUUCAGGAAACUGGGGCUAAUACCGGAUAGGAGCUCCUGCUGCAUGGUGGGGGUUGGAAAGUUUCGGCGGUUGGGGAUGGACUCGCGGCUUAUCAGCUUGUUGGUGGGGUAGUGGCUUACCAAGGCUUUGACGGGUAGCCGGCCUGAGAGGGUGACCGGCCACAUUGGGACUGAGAUACGGCCCAGACUCCUACGGGAGGCAGCAGUGGGGAAUCUUGCACAAUGGGCGGAAGCCUGAUGCAGCAACGCCGCGUGCGGGAUGACGGCCUUCGGGUUGUAAACCGCUUUCGCCUGUGACGAAGCGUGAGUGACGGUAAUGGGUAAAGAAGCACCGGCUAACUGCGUG